rnacentral:rRNA from 1 species
CCUACGGGAGGCAGCAGUGGGGGAUAUUGCACAAUGGGGGAAACCCUGAUGCAGCGACGCCGCGUGGGUGAAGAAGCGCCUCGGCGCGUAAAGCCCUGUCAGCAGGGAAGAAAAUGACGGUACCUGAAGAAGAAGCCCCGGCUAACUACGUGCCAGCAGCCGCGGUAAUACGUAGGGGGCAAGCGUUAUCCGGAUUUACUGGGUGUAAAGGGGGCGCAGAUGGCGAUGCAAGCCAGGAGUGAAAGCCCGGGGCCCAACCCCGGGACUGCUCUUGGAACUGCGUGGCUAGAGUGCAGGAGGGGCAGGCGGAAGUCGUGGUGGAGCGGUGAAAUGCGUAGAGAUCAGGAGGAACACCGGUGGCGAAGGCGGCCUGCUGGACUGCAACUGACGUUGAGGCCCGAAAGCGUGGGGAGCAAACAGGAUUAGAUACCCUAGUAGUC